rnacentral:rRNA from 1 species
ACGAGGUUAAUAGGUUCGAGGUGGAAGCGUGGUGACACGUGGAGCUGACGAAUACUAAUCGAUCGAAGACUUAAUCAAUUU